rnacentral:rRNA from 1 species
GACGGACCACACAAACGUUAUUCGGAAUUACUGGGCGUAAAGAGCUCGUAGGUGGUUUGUCGCGUUGUUCGUGAAAACCGGGGGCUUAACCCUCGGCGUGCGGGCGAUACGGGCAGACUUGAGUACUGCAGGGGAGACUGGAAUUCCUGGUGUAGCGGUGGAAUGCGCAGAUAUCAGGAGGAACACCGGUGGCGAAGGCGGGUCUCUGGGCAGUAACUGACGCUGAGGAGCGAAAGCGUGGGGAGCGAACAGG